rnacentral:rRNA from 1 species
GGCAGAGAUGAGGUCCGCGCAAGGGGCCUAUACAGGUGGUGCAUGGUUGUCGUCAGCUCGUGUCGUGAGGUGUUGGGUUAAGUCCCGCAACGAGCGCAACCCUCGUUCAAUGUUGCCAGCACGUAAUGGUGGGGACUCAUUGGAGACUGCCGGGGUCAACUCGGAGGAAGGUGGGGAUGACGUCAAAUCAUCAUGCCCCUUAUGUCUUGGGCUGCACGCAUGCUACAAUGGCAGAUACAAAGGGCUGCGAUACCGUAAGGUGGAGCGAAUCCCAAGAAGUCUGUCUCAGUUCGGAUUGGGGUCUGCAACUCGACCCCAUGAAGUCGGAGUCGCUAGUAAUCGCAGAUCAGCAACGCUGCGGUGAAUACGUUCCCGGGUCUGUACACACCGCCCGU